rnacentral:lncRNA from 1 species
CUACUAUCAGUUCAUCAAGCUGGUCUUCAAGGAUUUUGAUGUUGGCACUAUUUGGUUCGGAGUCGGCUGAUGUCUCUGCCCAGGGCUGCCCAUUAAUGGUAACAUUCUCUCUCACUGCUGCCUCAAAGUUCCAGAUCGCGUCAUCCACUGCGGCGGCGGCGCCGCCCGGCUGCCCCUGCGCCAGGCCCCGCAGGAAGGGCGCGCACAGCCCCACCACCUCGUCCAGGCCGCGCCGCGAGCAGCACUGCACCCGCCAAUCCUGCCGGGCGGGCGGCCCGGCCGCCAUUUCCCGCCUCCUCCGAACCGAAAAU